rnacentral:rRNA from 1 species
AGCAGCCGCGGUAAUUCCAGCUCCAAUAGCGUAUAUUAAAGUUGUUGCAGUUAAAAAGCUCGUAGUUGAAUUUCGGGAUCGAAUUGUUGGUCGUGCUUCGGUACGUACUGGCAUUAUUGGUUCCUACCUUCUGAAGAACCGCGAUGUCAUUAAUUUGGUGUCGUGGGGAAUCAGGACUGUUACUUUGAAAAAAUUAGAGUGUUUAAAGCAAGCUAACGCUUGAAUACAUUAGCAUGGAAUAAUGAAAUAGGACGUUCGAUCCUAUUUUGUUGGUUUCUAGGAUUGACGUAAUGAUUAAUAGGGAUAGUUGGGGGCAUUAGUAUUCAAUUGUCAGAGGUGAAAUUCUUGGAUUUAUUGAAGACUAACUACUGCGAAAGCAUUUGCCAAGGAUGUUUUCAUUAAUCAAGAACGAAAGUUGGGGGCUCGAAGACGAUCAGAUACCGUCCUAGUCUCAACCAUAAACGAUGCCGACCAGGGAUCGGCGGAUGUUACUUUUAGGACUC